AGAGUUUGAUCAUGGCUCAGGAUGAACGCUGGCGGCGUGCCUAAUACAUGCAAGUCGAACGCUUGCUUGAGGACUUGUCUUCAAGCGGGAGUGGCGAACGGGUGAGUAAUACAUAAGCAAUCUGCCCAUCGGCCUGGGAUAACAGUUGGAAACGACUGCUAAUACCGGAUAGGUGAUGAAGAGGCAUCUCUUGAUCAUUAAAGUUGGGAUACAACACGGAUGGAUGAGCUUAUGGCGUAUUAGCUAGUAGGUGAGGUAACGGCUCACCUAGGCGAUGAUACGUAGCCGACCUGAGAGGUGACCGGCCACAUUGGGACUGAGACACGGCCCAAACUCCUACGGGAGCA
rnacentral:rRNA from 1 species